rnacentral:rRNA from 1 species
UACGUAGGUGACAAGCGUUGUCCGGAUUUACUGGGCGUAAAGGGCUCGUAGGCGGCCAACUAAGUCAGACGUGAAAUCCCCAGGCUCAACCUGGGAACUGCGUCUGAUACUGGAUGGCUUGAAUCCGGGAGAGGGAUGCAGAAUUCCAGGUGUAGCGGUGAAAUGCGUAGAUAUCUGGAGGAAUACCGGUGGCGAAGGCGCAUCCUGGACCGGCAUUGACGCUGAGGAGCGAAAGCCAGGGGAGCAAACGGG